GAUGAACGCUAGCGGCAGGCUUAAUACAUGCAAGUCGAGGGGCAGCAUGAUUGUAGCAAUACAAUUGAUGGCGACCGGCAAACGGGUGCGGAACACGUACACAACCUUCCAACAAGUGGGGGAUAGCCCAGAGAAAUUUGGAUUAAUACCCCGUAACAUAGCGAUGUGGCAUCACAUUGCUAUUAUAGAUUUUUCGCUUGUUGAUGGGUGUGCGGCUGAUUAGAUAGUUGGCGGGGUAACGGCCCACCAAGUCUACGAUCAGUAGCUGAUGUGAGAGCUUGAUCAGCCACACGUCGACUGAGACACGGGCCCGACUCCUUCGGGAGGCAGCAGUAAGGAAUAUUGGACAAUGGACGCAAGUCUGAUCCAGCCAUGCCGCGUGAAGGAUUAAGGUCCUCUGGAUUGUAAACUUCUUUUAUAAGGGACGAAAAAAGGCUUUUCUAAGUCGUCUGACGGUACCUUAUGAAUAAGCACCGGCUAACUCCGUGCCAUCAGCCGCGGUAAGAC
rnacentral:rRNA from 1 species